rnacentral:lncRNA from 1 species
GGCAGAGCCCUCAUGAAUGGGAUUAGUGCCUUUAUAAAAGAGACCCCAGAGAGCUCCCUCGUCCCCUUCCACCAUGUGAGGACACAGUGAAAAGACAGCCAUCUGUGAACUACCAGACGCUGAAUCUGCUGGCCUCUGGAUCUUGGACUUUCAGCCUCCAGAACUGUACGUGUGACCCCAGCCUGGCCAACCAAAGAAGCCCAGCCCCCUGGCCACAUUGAUUGAGCCAAGAGACGAGGACACAACUCGUCAGGUGCUCUCAGAGUCUUCUCUUGGCUUCAGACGCUGGAGGAGACUGUGGAGAGAGGAGAGGAGCCCCUCAGUUGGGAUGCUGUAAGCUUGCUGCAGUCUGACCGUGUGGAGUGAGACCGUCUACGGCGGAAGAACGUAUGGACACAUCUGAGACUGAACGUGACCUCUGGAGAACGCAAUGGAAGAGCAACUGCCACCCACUUCAGAGGCAUCUGCGGGCCCAGGAGGUUCCUGAGGAGGGGCAGGAGGAUGCCACAGCUGAGUCAGGGCCCUAAGAUUGGGCUUGGCUGCAGAUCUGGAGCAUCUAUCCAUCUGUCCGGGUGUCUAUCUGGCUGCUUGGGGCCCCCGAAGGGGCUAUUCCUGAACAAGAACCCUUCCCACUGACUCAUUUAACUAUUCUU